rnacentral:rRNA from 1 species
CCUACGGGAGGCAGCAGUGAGGAAUAUUGGUCAAUGGGCGCGAGCCUGAACCAGCCAAGUCGCGUGAGGGAAGACGGUCCUAUGGAUUGUAAACCUCUUUUGUCGGGGAGCAAAAGACGCCACGCGUGGCGUUCCGAGAGUACCCGAAGAAAAAGCAUCGGCUAACUCCGUGCCAGCAGCCGCGGUAAUACGGAGGAUGCGAGCGUUAUCCGGGUUUAUUGGGGUUAAAGGGUGCGGAGGCGGAAGGUCAAGUCAGCGGUAAAAUUGAGAGGCUCAACCUCGUCGAGCCGUUGAAACUGGUCUUCUUGAGUGAGUGAGAAGUAUGCGGAAUGCGUGGUGUAGCGGUGAAAUGCAUAGAUAUCACGCAGAACUCCGAUUGCGAAGGCAGCAUACCGGCGCUCAACUGACGCUCAUGCACGAAAGUGUGGGUAUCGAACAGGAUUAGAUACCCUUGUAGUC